AUGGACGCGGGCCGCAAGAGGGCCGUGCCGGAGGGCACCAACGGCGGCGCUGCCGUCAAGCGCGCCAGAGCAGAAUCGGAGUCGGUUCAAACGGGUGUAGGAAGCAAAUCGAAGCCAUGCACCAAAUUUUUCAGCACUGCUGGUUGUCCCUUUGGAUCGAGUUGCCAUUUUCUCCAUAACUUCCCUGGAGGUCACCAGGCUGUUUCAAAGAUGACCAACUUGGGUGGUCCAGCUGUUUCAGCUCCUCAAGGAAGAAUGCCCAUGGGACCUGGUGUUCCUGAUGGGCCACCUACACCCAGCUUGAAGACUCGCUUGUGUAACAAGUUUAACACAGCAGAAGGUUGUAAAUGGGGGAACAAGUGUCAUUUUGCUCAUGGAGAGAGGGAGCUCGGAAAGCCCAUGCUGUUGAACAACUCAAUGGCACCUCCAAUGGGACCAAGACCCAACGGUCACUUUCAGCCCCCACCGAUGCCUGGCCCAGACAUGGUCCCUCCCUCAACCUUUGGCGCUUCGGCCACAGCCAAGAUCAGUGUUGAUGCAUCCCUUGCUGGUGCCAUUAUUGGGAAGGGUGGAGUCAACACGAAGCACAUAUCCCGAAUGACUGGGGCCAAGCUGGCCAUCCGGGAUAACGAGGCAGACCCCAACCAUAAAAACAUUGAGCUUGAGGGGUCGUUUGAUCAGGUCAACCAUGCAAGUGCAAUGGUGAAAGAGCUGAUUCUCCGCAUUGGCGGUAACGCCCCUCCUCAAGCAAAGAACCCAGGGAGGGGGCCUGCGGGUGGUGGUGGGGGAAGCAACUUCAAGACCAAGCUGUGUGACAACUUCACCAAAGGCUCUUGCACAUUUGGAGACAGAUGCCACUUCGCCCAUGGUGAGAGUGAACUGCGCAAGUCGGCUGCGGCUUGA
rnacentral:rRNA from 1 species